AAAGAGAGAGGUGUGCGAGAGAGAGCUUGAGCGGAAGAGAGGCCGAGAGGAAGAGGAAGGAGGGAGCCGCCCGUCCGCCGUACGUCCGCCUAGUCCGACCACCGUACGCCGCCUUGUGCUUGCUGUUCGUUCAUUUUGGAGGCAAAUUAGAAAGAUGCCGCUUCCUACCGUCACGCGAGGCACCUUCUAUGGUAUUCCGUCAGAUGUAGAAGUAGAUUGUACGGAGAUCGACUGCGUCACUAUCCCUGGACUGACAUUUAUGCGAGUGCGUGUGCUGGUCAUGUACGACGUGGGCCUGGCUGGGGGCCCAGUCAUCCAGGAGUUUUUGUCUGUUCAUGUCCGCCGAGACGGAGUGUUUAGGGGGAUGUUGCCGCCACCACCACCCGAUGCACCUGGAUGGGUGUGAUGGUUGUGUGAAGGGUAGAGAGCUGGUGUCGUCUUUUUGGGAGUAGCCGCCACUGUUGGAUGGGGGAAAUGACAUGUGAUCUUCUUGAGGGGUCGUAGUAUCUUUUUGGGAUGAGGCCGAGUGUGGCUGAAAAUCUUGGUCUCCUUUUGUUGUAUCGACCCGUGAAAAACCCAUCGAUAUUAUGUAAAUAAUAGUGGCUUGGCUUAUCUUUUAAAA